AUUGAACGCUGGCGGCAGGCCUAACACAUGCAAGUCGAGCGGGGUUUUCGGACCUAGCGGCGGACGGGUGAGUAAUGCGUAGGAAGCUACCCGACAGAGGGGGAUACCAGUUGGAAACGACUGUUAAUACCGCAUAAUGUCUACGGACCAAAGUGUGGGACCUUCGGGCCACAUGCUGUCGGAUGCGCCUACGUGGGAUUAGCUAGUUGGUGAGGUAAUGGCUCACCAAGGCGACGAUCCCUAGCUGGUUUGAGAGGAUGAUCAGCCACACUGGAACUGAGACACGGUCCAGACUCCUACGGGAGGCAGCAGUGGGGAAUAUUGGACAAUGGGCGCAAGCCUGAUCCAGCCAUGCCGCGUGUGUGAAGAAGG
rnacentral:rRNA from 1 species